UCUUUAGGCUUCUCCGCCCCCUAGUGGCCACUGUGCGUCACUGCGUGCGCUGAGCACCUGGGAAACAGUCUCCCCUUCGCAACCGACGUAUAAGGAGAGGCUGAUAAAUAUGGAGCCAAGGGCUGAGUACAGACGCGGGUUUCCCUGCAAGACCGUCAUAACAGAGUUAGAAACUUGCAUGAAAAGGCAACAUCUCAUGCAGAUUUUCUGGUUGGUCUUCACAUGGUUGCUCACAGGCUAUCGUGUGGCCCUGGAGUGUGGGGCCAUGGAGUCCUCUGCUGGAUCCUUGGCAUUUGACAGACAGAAAGGGAAAGAGAAUGAGAAAGAGAGGAGAACCCAUGGGAGGUUUUCCUGGAUCAAGCUUCAAAGUUGUGAACUGGCUAGUUACAAGAAUUCUCACAUUUCAUUUUCCAGAUCUCAGCCACAUGACCGUAUCUGAUUGUAAGGGAGGCUAGGAAAUGUAGUUUAGAGUGAAUGUUUGUGUCCCCUCAAAACUCAUAUGUUGAAACCUAGUCCCCAGUGUGAUGUUAUUUGGAGGUGGGGACUUAGAGGUGAGAAGUCCCAUGAAUGGGAUCAGUGUCCUUAUAAGUGAGACCCCAGAGAGCUCCCUGGCCCCCUCCAGCGUGUGAGGACACAGCCAUAUCAAAUCUGCCAGCGCCUUGAUCUUGGACUUCCCAGCCUCCAGAAUGGUGAGAAAUAAAUGUCUGUUGUUUAAGCCACCUAAUCUAUGGCGUUUUUGUUAUAGCAGCCCCAACAGACUAAGACAGUUGUGUUUCCAAGAGGAAAAUGAAACAGACUUUGACAAAUCUACGAUAGCAGCCUCUGCUACAAUAAUUGACCAUGUGCUCUGUGU
rnacentral:lncRNA from 1 species